ACUCGCUUUUUUAAAUGCGUGUGAAAGAGACAGAGCACAGUAAAAUUCGAAUGUUUCAAAUUUAUGGCUGAACAAUGUCAAUUCGUGUCACUGAAGAUUGAAAAAUUAAAAAGCUACUUUAACCCACGCUCGAAUCAAAAUCGCGUUUUGUUCACUGUUGUCUCGCAGCAAAAGCGACGUGUUUGAGCUACUGAGAUAUGUCAAAUUUACAACUAACUUUCCCGUGGUCAUUAAUCGUGAAGACUUACAAAGAAAAUUUACCGGAAUAUGUAUUAGUUAAAAUUAAUGUCAGCUCUUUUCGCUUCGACAUUUGGCAGCACCUGAAUAUCCGUCCCAAGAUAGGAUUGUUUAUGAGUAGUUCUUUCGUGAUGCUCAACAAGUAAAUAAUUUAAAAACAAACAAACAGAUAUGAAAAUAAUUAUCAAAUCAAUAUUCGAUGAAAAUAAUUAUAUUGAGAUACGGGUGUUUGCAUUAGAACGAAAUGUCAAAGAAGCGCAGAUAAUCUGAAGCAACGGGAUAUUGUAAAAAGGACGAAAACACGACUUCCGAUACAAAAAGUGAGUCAAUCCCCGCAGCUCUGCUUCUUCGAACUAAUGAAAUGAACGUAAAUAGUCCUAUUCUCAACGGAAGGAACCACGCGUCACCGCCGAACCUACAGACUGAUGGGUCAAUGACAGAUUGCGGCGACAUUGAGAGGACUGCCUUUCGUGAAAUGUGAUGUUUCUGAAGUACAGACUUGUUAACUUCGAAGGACGAAUGACUAUAAAUAAAUUAAUUCGUUUGAGCAAGGAUGUAAGAGGGCUCUAAACUAGAUAUUUAAUUGGUUAUAUAACUUGUUGCAAUAAAUUUUAAUAAAAAAUGUAGGCAUUAUACUUAACACUA